rnacentral:rRNA from 1 species
AGAGUUUGAUCCUGGCUCAGAGUGAACGCUGGCGGUAGGCCUAACACAUGCAAGUCGAACGGCAGCACAGUAAGAGCUUGCUCUUAUGGGUGGCGAGUGGCGGACGGGUGAGGAAUACAUCGGAAUCUACCUUUUCGUGGGGGAUAACGUAGGGAAACUUACGCUAAUACCGCAUACGACCUUCGGGUGAAAGCAGGGGACCUUCGGGCCUUGCGCGGAUAGAUGAGCCGAUGUCGGAUUAGCUAGUUGGCGGGGUAAAGGCCCACCAAGGCGACGAUCCGUAGCUGGUCUGAGAGGAUGAUCAGCCACACUGGAACUGAGACACGGUCCAGACUCCUACGGGAGGCAGCAGUGGGGAAUAUUGGACAAUGGGCGCAAGCCUGAUCCAGCCAUACCGCGUGGGUGAAGAAGGCCUUCGGGUUGUAAAGCCCUUUUGUUGGGAAAGAAAAGCAGUCGAUUAAUACUCGGUUGUUCUGACGGUACCCAAAGAAUAAGCACCGGCUAACUUCGUGCCAGCAGCCGCGGUAAUACGAAGGGUGCAAGCGUUACUCGGAAUUACUGGGCGUAAAGCGUGCGUAGGUGGUUGUUUAAGUCUGUUGUGAAAGCCCUGGGCUCAACCUGGGAAUUGCAGUGGAUACUGGGCGACUAGAGUGGGGUAGAGGGUAGUGGAAUUCCCGGUGUAGCAGUGAAAUGCGUAGAGAUCGGGAGGAACAUCCAUGGCGAAGGCAGCUACCUGGACCAACACUGACACUGAGGCACGAAAGCGUGGGGAGCAAACAGAAU